UAAAAAGCGAUGAAUGAGAGGAGUAGGCCCAAUUGGCUUGCAAGAGAGGGGAACUAGUCAGCUGAGAAGUUCCCUCAAGUUUAACGGCUGAACGUCGCUCAGGAGCUGUUGUCCCCAACCGGACGCCCGUGUGUAAGGACNAUCGGCUGAUGCCCGUGAUAGCAUCGAACGAGUGCUUCGNCCGUNCANGCGAAGAAGUGGAGUGGUACCGCGGGGAAAAGAGUGUUAAGCCUUUCUCGUCUCCAAA
rnacentral:ncRNA from 1 species